CACCAGACUCUUCCACCAUGAUGUUCUGCCUCACCUUGAGCUCCGAGGGAGGAGCUGGCUGUCUAUGGAUUGAGACCUCUGAAAUUCUCAACUUGGACUUGAUGAAUUGAACACCCCUUCUUCCUGCCUGCCACACAGAAGGCUCUGCUCCUGGAAACAAGAUCUAUAAUAAAACACUGGAACACCCAUAAAUCUCCUUUUAAUGAAUUGGGCCUGCAGGAUGGAAGCAGCAUGGUACAUGUUUGGCAUCGUGAAAUCUGGAGGCUGCUUACCUGAAUAUGCAUCUUGCUGAAUAUGCAUCUUGCUGAAUAUGCAUCUCGACUCUUCUGUCUGUGGCUAUCGACUUUGUGAUAAUGACUCAACCACACUGUAUUCCACUGUUUCCACCUACAAAAUGGGGGAAAAAAGAGUGCUUACCUCAGAGAAUAGUCAUGUGGAUUAAAUGAUACUAUCCAUGGCAGCAGAGUGCCUAGGCCAUUAUCAGAUGGUGGGGCCAUUUUGGCCAAAGGAGACUGGAAUGCUGCAGAGGCCAUGAUAGGAUCUGGAAAUUUCUUUUCUUGUUUGAAUAUGAAGUGGUCCUUGGGACUCCUAGCCCCCUCUGGUUCUAGGACCAUAACCAGAAAAGGCGAGAGGAAUGGAAUUGGGUGAAAACCAGUGCACCCUUUUCCCUCUGCCAUUGAAUUGCAGGCUUCCACUGUCCGGAAGAAUCACAGGCUUUCUUUCAGGCUCCAAAGCGACCCACUAACAAAGCAUGGGGGCUGGGAGAUGUCUUUGAUCUCUGUCUCAUUCAUUCUUCCCAAAAUCACAGACCCAGGACCUCCCGCCAAUUUCUGAUCUUUUGUCCCAAGUCAAUUCAUGAACAGUCAUAAAUUGCUUUGAAGAUGAAAGCACCACAUCAGUGCACCAGGAUACCACUAUUAUUUUAAUAAGUGAAGCCUGCACAUGUCUUUUUGACGUAUGAACUGUUCAAAAUAUUUGUCUUGUUUUUCAGUUCAGCUGCAUGAGAAAAGGACUUGUGUUGUCUCUCGUGUAUACUCCUCCAUAUACCACUCUGCAGAAUGAGCACUGUUUUCAUAAAAAUGUUUGCCUUUUCUCCAACAAAAGAAAUUGAUGUUUCUCUUGGGACUUCAUCUCUUUUAGCCAAAGCUUGAGUAAUUAUUUUUAGAGAUAUGUACUUUUGUACUUUUAAAAUGUCUAAUUUAUUGCAAUGCUUACAAAUGCCAAUAAAAUGUACUAUCAUAUUCAAAAGGCCAACAAAGGUCAAUGCACAUUGAAAAAAUGAGAAGAAAUAUAUAUGUGAACAGAAUAAUGGAUUCAUAAGCAAACAUAAGAAUGGAUUCUACUUGCACAGGAGGAAGAGAAUAGAGAAUUUUAUUCUUUACAUCUACCACUAAUAGCUAUUCUACACUCAUGCCUUUUAAGGAAAUUUCUCCGGGGAACAUAUUUUACCAUGUCAUGGCACAUGACUUUGACCACCUCUCACGAAUGCUUCUGUAAACUUAACCAACAUCUAACAUAUUUUCAUGGACUCAGCUUCAUUGGCAGUCCCCCGUGAGCUGUCAGGGCUGGCCUGCUAUGCUGAUAUCUGGCACUGGGCAGAGAAUAAGGAAGGCUGCUGGAGUGGGUUGAUGAGGAGCCACUGCCAGGCGCUCAGAAAUGCAGUCAGUUCAUAAACUCUGGACCUUGGACUAGCACCUAGGAAUGUCCCUCACAUCUGCCACAGGCUAUACGUUUUGUCACUUGGUCUCCACUGCAAGCCUGACUGUGAUGUUCAUGUUAGCAGCCUGAUUUUGCCUCUUAUCCACCCGUGAAGGGACUCUAUGGUGCAAUCUACUGGGCAAUGCCUCAGAGAACAGAUGACCUCAUAAAGAAGAAUGGACCCAUUCUUUGGGAGGAAGUUGGAGCUUUCUCAGAUAGUCAAAUGCUCAGCUGCAAAAGCCCGAGAACACAGACAUCCAGCCAUGCAUAAUUGAUGACAUAAUAAAAGCUGCUGUGGCUGCAAGAGGAAAUAUGAUAUGACAUAAAUCUCCCUGCCAGGGGGAAAAUGAAGUUGAGAUCCAAAAUUUUAAAAUGAUGACUGCUGGUUAAGGCAUCAUCAGAUAAGGAAUUCCUCCCAUAUUACAAAGCCUCUGAGUGAGAAGGGAGAAGCUGCCUUUUCUAUCCAGGGAAAUUAGACACUGGGGAAAAGGGAAGAAAAUUGCUCUUCUUGGGAUAUUUGGAUGUACUGGAUACAUUGCUGGUGAGUCCUCCUCAUUUAACCCUCCUGGCAAGCUAACUGGUACAGACCUCAUUUACAAAUUGAAGAAUCGUGUUUCAGCCAGCUCAAGCUUCUAUAACCAAGUACCAUGGACUGGGGGCUUAUAAACAACAGAAGUUCAUUCCUUACUGUUUUGGAGUCUGAAAGUCUGAAGUCAGCAUGCAGCGUGGCCGGGUGCUGGUAAAGGCCCUCUUCCUGAUUCAUCGAUGGUGUCUUUUUGUUGUAUCCUCACAUGGUUGAUGUGCUAAGUGGUUUCCCUUGGAUCCUUUUUAUAAGGGUGUUGUUGAUCCCAUUCAUGGGGGAGUCUAUUCUCAUGAUUGAAUUACCUCCCAAAAGUCCCACUUUCAAUCACCACACUGGGGGCUGGGUUUCAAUGUGUGAAUUUGGGGAGGAACACAAUCAUUCAUUCUAUAGCAGAGAGGCUCAGGAAAUUAAGAAAUUUGGAUGUGGGCAUACUAGGAACAUGAAUUGCACAUAUAAAUCACAACUAAAUCUUUUAAAUUCAGGGCCCCAUUUUAACACACAGGGUCAAAAUAAAACAGGAAGGACCAGGGGCCCAAACUGCUGAGACAAGAAGCCUUGGGGUGGUUCUUGUGAAAGUAGGGUGUUGCUCAGAGAAUAGCAGAGCCAGUGUGGGCAGUCUCUCAGCAAUUAGACAGACAGGUGGAGCCCUGGCCUUAGGCAGGAAGAACAGAAUCUAGGAAACUUAUACUUCCUGAGUGAAAUGUAUAACUGUAUCCCCAAAUCUGAAAGUAUCUCUCUGAUAUAGCAGGACUCAUAUUAUGAUGGGCACAGAAGGUCUUAUUAAGCUCUUUUCUCUCCUAUAGUGCCUAAUCAACGCAUUUCACAUAGUAGGUGCUCCAUAAAUAUCUGUGUCUAUAUGAGCCCACUAUAACAACCUCCCUUGCUUUUGCUCUAUUGACAACUGCUCUCCUGCAUUUCAGUGAGAUCAAGAUGUGUCCAAAGUUCCCGCUGUUACAACGAUAAUAUCUAUGGAGACAAUGUCCUUAACAACAUGUCUCUAACUCCCUUCUUUGAGUGUGUUGCCUCUGAGAAGUGUCUCUAAGAUGCUUCCAGCCAAGACCCCCAAAGUCAUUUAGACUAUGAGGGCUGCACAUUCAAAGAGUGCUCAUUCAUUUGCUGCCCUUUCCCUGUCAUAUACCUUGCUUUCUUAGACUGGAUUCACCUUCUAUGAGAUAGAUCACUGGGACUGAAGAAUGAGUUGGACAAGCAAUCCUGGCUGAUUUGACGACUGUUUUGUACAAAUUGAGAGAGGAUACCUCUGCAAGGAUGAAGACAAGAAGCAUUCCUCUAAGUCCAGAGCUUGGGGCCCUUCCAGAUUGUUUUUGAGCCACUCCCUGCAGAUUCCAAAGAGUCUGAGCCCUGCCUGGCCAUGACCAAGGCCUUCCUAGAGUGUCACUUCCUAGAGUAACACCUGCAUAGAUUGUUUAAUCAGUAAUGCCUGACUUCUCUAGGGAUGACAGACAUCAAAGAGCCAAGCAAGAAAGCAAUGAGGGAGAAAGUCUUGGCACCAGUGUGGACAGAGGGUCCACAAAUGGUUUAGAAAAAGAGAAAUCAAUCUGUGGGUUGUAACUCCUGCAGCAUCAUACCAGAGAUCCCAAGGCAUUCAAAAGAGAAGUCUCCAAUUUAAACAAAAUGUUUUUCUUGCCUCUAAACAUGCCCAGGUAUUCAUGUCCAGGUUCAAACCUAAGUAUCUGCUCAUUUUUGAUGUCAGUAACAGCUGGAAAGAACAGCAAGAAAAGGGAGGGUACAGCAGACUCACCAGGAUUUGUGCCUAGGAUCUUUCUCCAUAGAAACCAUGAGAGAGGAAAGGUAAGGAGCCUGAUAGGAGGUGAGAAUGGAGUCUGGGUAAAGAGGAGUUCUGCAGCUACCACUGCUGUGAUAUAAAGUAUUUUCCAUGUAAGUUGUCUUCGUCUGUUUUGUGUUACUAUAACAGAAUACCUGAGGCCAGGUAAUUUAUUUUAAAAAUAGAUAUUUAUUUUUUUACAGUUCUAGAGGCUGGGAAGUUCAAAUUUGAGAGGCCCGAAACUUUUGAGAAUGCCUUCAUGCUGCAUCAUCCUGUAGUGGAAGGAAGAAGGGCAAGAGAGCUCAAGAGAGCAAGAGGAAGCUGAUCUCACUUUUAUAAUAAACUCACUCUGAUAAUAAUAACAUCAAUCCAUUCAUGAAGACAGAAUCUUCAUGAUCUUAUCUCCUCUUGGAACUUCCACUUCUCAACAUUGUUGCAUUGGGAAUUAAGUUACUAAUAUAUAAAUGUUCAAACCAUAGUAAGGGCAUAUACAAUGUGACUAUUUAAUCCUCUAAGAAAGGACAUCAAAGUACUAACAAUUUGGGGCUGGAGAUGUAGCUCAGUGGUAAAGUGCUUGCUUUGUAUGUGUGAGGCUCUGGGCUUGAUUUCCAGCACCACAUAUAAAUAAGCAAAAAAAUAA